GGAUUAGGCAUGCAAGUCGAACGCGAAAGCCCGCAAGGGUGAGUAGAGUGGCGCAAGGGUGAGUAAUGCAUAGGUAACCUACCCGCGAGAUCGGGAUAACCUCGCUUCGGGCAACCGAAGCUACCGAAAGGGGGGCUAAUACCGGAUGACACCACGGAGUCGAAUGGCUCUGUGUUCAAAGCGGGGGACCGGGUAACACCGGCCUCGCACUCGCGGAGGGGCUUAUGUCCUAUCAGCUAGUUGGUGGGGUAAUGGCCUACCAAGGCGACGACGGGUAGCCGAUCUUAGCGGAUGACCGGCCACACUGGGACUGAGACACUGCCCAGACUCCUACGGGAGGCUGCAGUCGAGAAUCUUCUGCAAUGGGCGAAAGCCUGACAGAGCGACGCCGCGUGGAGGAAGAAGGCCUUCGGGUUGUAAACUCCUGUCACAGGUUAAGAAGAGUGUUCUGCCUAAUAGGCGGGACUUUCGGACAAAGGCCUGAGAGGAAGCCACGGCUAACUCUGUGCCAGCAGCCGCGGUAAGACAGAGGUGGCAAGCGUUGUUCGGAACCAUUGGGCGUAAAGGGCGCGUAGGCGGUGGCAUAAGUCGGUGGUGAAAUCCCUCGGCUCAACCGGGGCAUUGCUUCCGAUACUAUGUCGCUUGAGUACGGGAGGGGAGAGUGGAACUUCUGGUGGAGCGGUGAAAUGCGUAGAUAUCAGAAGGAACGCCGGAGGCGAAGGCGGCUCUCUGGACCGUUACUGACGCUGAGGCGCGAAAGCUAGGGGAGCAAAUGGGAUUAGAUACCCCAGUAGUCCUAGCCGUAAACGAUGGGCACUAAGUAGAGGGGUUUU
rnacentral:rRNA from 1 species